UGUGGGACUGUAAAUAGUACAGAAAAUCUUUAAAUUCAAAUUUUCUAUCAUUUUAGAUAAUUCAAAAAAUAUUUUCUCAGUGUUUACAUACACAAAUCAUAACCAAAAUAAGCAUCUGUACAUUGACAAGGACUAGUGUACAGCAAUUCUGAUUAGUUAUACUGCAAGGGAUGAACCUUCUAACAUCCAUAGAUGCAGCAAUUGUAUGCAUAAAAUUUUUAAGAUAUCAGCUCUUCUUCGAGUGGUAGAGACUAAAAUUAUCAUUGUAGACUGGUUAUGUAGAAAAUUUCGAAUGCGAUUUCCAUCAAUAUGGCAGACUGAGAAGAUUAAUAGAGGGCUCAUAUGUUUAAAAGGAAAAUAAAGAAAACUGAUAAAAAAUUAAACCAUACCUAUGAAACUUGGGAAUUUUUUUGGUCAAAAUGGUGUUAAUUCAAAUACAAGCGCGGGAACAUGUAUUUCUCCAUUUUGAAUCUCGUGUAUCCAAGUGUAUGUCAUUCUGAGAUCCAUAUAAGCAUGUUAACCAUAAUUUCUUAAUCAUAUACAAUCACUCCUCAACUAACGUGAUUGUAUGUUUGUAAAUUUGCUGAACACCGAUGCUGAGUAUGUCACAAUGCACGCUUUACAUCAAUUGUGUUAUAUUUCCAGCUUUCAAUGAAUAGACAGAUAUAAUCAGGGCUCGCGCUGCCCAUCGCAUUUGUCGCAUUUUGUGAUUUUUCAGAAAAAAAUGCGACAGAAAUUCCGGAAAUGCGACACGGACAUUUCAUAUUUUAGUAUUCGCGCGCCAUUUUGAAUUUCAGCUGUUGGCAUCCAAACAGCCUCAGGGCUGUUUUACUUGUGCAGAAUGUGGAUACCCUGUCGCAUGGGAACAAUAAGACUUCGGGGCAUCUUGUUUAUUUAGCAGUUUAAACAAAACAAAGGGUUGAUCCUCUAUGUACAGACUUCAUGAAGUCCCUUCUCCUCUACAUGAUGAGAUUCACCAAAGGACCACUUUGUCAUUCUGGAUUUCAAGAUGAAAACAGGAUUCUUCAGUGAAAAUGUGAUGUGAAACUAUGAUCAUGUGUUAUGUAUUACAAUAAUUAAUUUUCAGUAACUUUGUCAUCAGUGACUUUCUAGACUUUAAAUUUAAUGAGUAAUAUAUGUCAUUUACACCACUAAAAUGAUUAAUAAACAUUUAGAAACUCA